rnacentral:rRNA from 1 species
CCCUUAGAUGUUCUGGGCCGCACGCGCGCUACACUGAUGCAUGCAGCAAGUCUUUUCCUUGGCCGAGAGGCCUGGGCAAUCUUUGAAUAUGCAUCGUGAUGGGGAUAGACGAUUGCAAUUAUUCGUCUUCAACGAGGAAUUCCUAGUAAACGCAAGUCAUCAGCUUGCAUUGAUUACGUCCCUGCCCUUUGUACACACCGCCCGUCGCACCUACCGAUUGAAUGGUCCGGUGAAGCGUUCGGACCGUGGCCUUUGGACGGUUCGCCGUCUGUUGGCUGCGGGAAGUUCGUUAAACCUUAUCAUUUAGAGGAAGGAGAAGUCGUAACA